rnacentral:rRNA from 1 species
AACGAACGCUGGCGGCAGGCCUAACACAUGCAAGUCGAGCGCCCCGCAAGGGGAGCGGCGGACGGGUGAGUAACGCGUGGGAAUAUGCCCUUUGCUACGGAAUAGUCUCGGGAAACUGGGGGUAAUACCGUAUACGCCCUUUGGGGGAAAGAUUUAUCGGCGAAGGAUUAGCCCGCGUUGGAUUAGGUAGUUGGUGGGGUAAUGGCCUACCAAGCCGACGAUCCAUAGCUGGUUUGAGAGGAUGAUCAGCCACACUGGGACUGAGACACGGCCCAGACUCCUACGGGAGGCAGCAGUGGGGAAUCUUAGACAAUGGGGGCAGCCCUGAUCUAGCCAUGCCGCGUGAGUGAUGAAGGCCUUAGGGUUGUAAAGCUCUUUCAGCUGGGAAGAUAAUGACGGUACCAGCAGAAGAAGCCCCGGCUAACUCCGUG